rnacentral:rRNA from 1 species
CUACGGGCCGCUCCAGUGGGGAAUAUUGCGCAAUGGGCGAAAGCCUGACGCAGCGACGCCGCGUGAGCGAAGAAGGCCUUCGGGUUGUAAAGCUCUGUCAGGGGGGAAGAAGGUGCUUGCACUGACGGUACCUCCAGAGGAAGCCCCGGCCAACUACGUGCCAGCAGCCGCGGUAAUACGUAGGGGGCGAGCGUUGUCCGGAAUCAUUGGGCGUAAAGAGCACGUAGGCGGCCUGUCAAGUCGGAUGUGAAAACCCGUGGCUCAACUGCGGGACUGCAUUCGAAACUGGCAGGCUGGAGUCCAGUAGAGGAAAGUGGAAUUCCCAGUGUAGCGAUGAAAUGCGCAGAUAUUGGGAAGAACACCGGUGGCGAAGGCGGCUUUCUGGGCUGAGACUGACGCUGAGGUGCGAAAGCGUGGGUAGCAAACAGGAUUAGAUACCCCCGUAGUC